rnacentral:rRNA from 1 species
GAAUUCGCCCUUAGAGUUUGAUCCUGGCUCAGGACGAACGCUGGCGGCGCGCCUAACACAUGCAAGUCGAACGAGAGAUGAGGAGCUUGCUCUUCAAAUCGAGUGACGAACGGGUGAGUAACGCGUGAGGAACCUGCCUCAAAGAGGGGGACAACAGUUGGAAACGACUGCUAAUACCGCAUAAGCCCACAGCUCGGCAUCGAGCAGAGGGAAAAGGAGCAAUCCGCUUUGAGAUGGCCUCGCGUCCGAUUAGCUAGUUGGUGAGGUAACGGCCCACCAAGGCGACGAUCGGUAGCCGGACUGAGAGGUUGAACGGCCACAUUGGGACUGAGACACGGCCCAGACUCCUACGGGAGGCAGCAGUGGGGAAUAUUGCACAAUGGGGGAAACCCUGAUGCAGCGACGCCGCGUGGAGGAAGAAGGUCUUCGGAUUGUAAACUCCUGUUGUUGAGGAAGAUAAUGACGGUACUCAACAAGGAAGUGACGGCUAACUACGUGCCAGCAGCCGCGGUAAAACGUAGGUCACAAGCGUUGUCCGGAAUUACUGGGUGUAAAGGGAGCGCAGGCGGGAGAACAAGUUGGAAGUGAAAUCCAUGGGCUCAACCCAUGAACUGCUUUCAAAACUGUUUUUCUUGAGUAGUGCAGAGGUAGGCGGAAUUCCCGGUGUAGCGGUGGAAUGCGUAGAUAUCGGGAGGAACACCAGUGGCGAAGGCGGCCUACUGGGCACCAACUGACGCUGAGGCUCGAAAGUGUGGGUAGCAAACAGGAUUAGAUACCCUGGUAGUCCACACCGUAAACGAUGAUUACUAGGUGUUGGGAGAUUAACCCCUUCA